rnacentral:rRNA from 1 species
CCCAGCAGCCAUGUCACCCUGCAACUGCAACCUGAAGCUAAGCAGGUGUGAGCCUGGUCAGUACCUGGAUGUGAGACCUCCUGGGAAAAACUAAGGUUGCUGCUGGAA